UUGAUAAGAAAGUGAAACGCUCGAGGUAUCGUAUCUCAAUACAAAUUCAAAACUCAAAACGCUUUCACUCCAACUUCAAUUUCAUCAUGUUCGGAAACAACACAUGCAGCGGCGGCGCUCCAUUUUCUCUCUCAGUCGUGUUCUCUGCCGUCUCAACCUCGCGUCCAUUACAAACCCGACGGCCGAAGAACUCAUACGAGUUCUCUUCUCCGACGAACUCUCGGUCUCAAUAUCUUCUUCUCCUCUUUUCGAUUUCUAAUUCGUUGUUUGUUGGUUUGAUGAUGAUGGUGAUACGGAAUCGGUGAUUUGUGUUGUUGUAUUGUGUGUUUCUGUCCAAGCUUGAUUCGGUGAAAGUGCAAUGAUGAUGAUGGGUAAUGUUUGUUUUAGGGUUAGAUCUGUGUAUUUGUUCAUCUCCAUGGUUGUUUUCAUAAAUCUAAUUAGUUUAUUGUUAUGUUUGAGGGUUUAUUUCUGAUUUUUAUUCUUUUGUUACUUAUGGUUAAUGUUUGUUUCAGGUUUAGAUCUGUGUAUUUGUUCAUCUCCACGACUGUUUUUAUAAAUCAAAUUAUUUCAUCCCUUUUCUCUGCUAUAUAUUGAAUCAAAUUAAGGCUACAUCAUAUAGGAUUUCAUCUCAGUAGCCAGAAAGGAUUUAGACUUGAUCGGGUUUUACCGCUGACUUUUGAAUCUAACAGGAGGAUGAAGUGAAAGAAAGAGCAAAAAGAGAUGCAGCUGCUAGCAAAUGAAGGGAAUACUCAUGGAAAGGAUUGUGUAUGAAGUGAUGGCUUCUUAUUGUAUUGGAAGAGAAUUUUAAUUGUGACAUGGAUAAGCAGUGACUUGGUUCUGAAAUUGCAUAUGUGCUAUGACUGUUUUGGGUUGUAUAAUUAUGCA